GACGUAGGGGACGAGCGUUGUCCGGAUUCAUUGGGCGUAAAGCGCGCGUAGGCGGCCGUGCAAGUCGGUUGUGAAAUCCCGGGGCUCAACCCCGGGACUGCGUCCGAUACUGCACGGCUCGAGGCAGGUAGGGGAGAGUGGAAUUCCCGGUGUAGCGGUGAAAUGCGUAGAUAUCGAGAGGAACACCUGCGGCGAAGGCGGGUAGCUGGGCCGACACUGACGCUGAGGCGCGAAAGCCAGGGGAGCGAACGGG
rnacentral:rRNA from 1 species